GACGUAGGGGGCAAGCGUUGUCCGGAAUCAUUGGGCGUAAAGCGCUCGUAGGUGGAUCGGUAGGUCUGCAAAGAAAGACCCGGGCUCAACUCGGGGAACGGUGUGGAUACUACCGAUCUUGAGGCAAUCAGAGGAUGAUGGAAUUCCCGGUGUAGCGGUGAAAUGCGUAGAUAUCGGAAGGAACACCAGUGGCGAAAGCGGCUUCCUGGUCCGACACCGACGUUCAGGCACGAAAGCGUGGGGAGCAAACAGG
rnacentral:rRNA from 1 species